UGGGGAAUUUUGGACAAUGGGGGCAACCCUGAUCCAGCCAUUCCGCGUGAGUGAAGAAGGCCUUCGGGUUGUAAAGCUCGGUCAGCUGGAACGAAACGGUACGCUCUAACAUAGCGUGCUAAUGACGGUACCGGCAGAAGAAGCACCGGCUAACUACGUG
rnacentral:rRNA from 1 species